rnacentral:misc_RNA from 1 species
UGGACUGCAGUUUAAGGGGCAAAAAAAUGGAAAAAAAAAAAUAAAGAAAGCUACAUUCAUACAAAAAUCUGCCCACUGAACAUCCAUUUUUGCAGGUGCACACUUCAAGAAAUGGUGUGUGAUGCAAUCCAAAAUUAAGGCAGGAGCAAUCAAUGAAUACAAGAAAGAGGUGGAGUUGAUGCUAGAAACGAUGCAGUCGUGUAUCAGAUCACAUUAUUCCGGCCGCGAGGCUGACAAGGCCUCUUCCUCCCCCAUUGUAACACAAGAUAGCAGCUGAGAACCCCCCGGCAUUACAAAUUUAGUUAUUCUUUCUUUAUUAAAUGUAAUUUUAUUUUUCUUUUUUUUAAUUAAUUUAAAAUUUUUACACGUAAAGAGAGCAACCAGGUUCCUUGUGAUGGCAAUAGCCAAUAGGUGUAAAUCUUGUGUGCAAUUAGUAUUUGUAACCUCACCCUGUCUCCUUUGAAGAGACCUAGUGGUGUGCGUUGUUGAUGUUCUAUGGUGUAAUGGCAAUCUCAGGCUUUGAAACACAGUGUUAUUCUCCUUUUGCUUGGAACUUGAAUUAGUGUUAAUUUAUGUCAAUAAAGGUAAAGAGAGA